UACGGGGGGAGCAAGCGUUGUUCGGAUUUACUGGGCGUAAAGGGCGCGUAGGCGGUCGUGACAAGUCACUUGUGAAAUCUCCGGGCUUAACUCGGAAAGGUCAACUGAUACUGUGCGACUAGAGUGCGGAAGGGGCAACUGGAAUUCUCGGUGUAGCGGUGAAAUGCGUAGGAUAUCGAGAGGAACACCUGCGGCGAAAGGCGGGGAUUGC
rnacentral:rRNA from 1 species